rnacentral:rRNA from 1 species
UGCCAGCCGCCGCGGUAAUACGGAGGGUGCGAGCGUUAAUCGGAAUCACUGGGCGUAAAGCGUACGUAGGCGGCUUUGUAAGUCAGAUGAGAAAGCCCACGGCUCAGCCGUGGAAUUGCAUUUGAUACUGCAUCGCUAGAGUAUAGGAGAGGGAAGUGGAAUUUCUGGUGUAGGAGUGAAAUCCGUAGAGAUCAGAAGGAACACCGGUGGCGAAGGCGACUUCCUGGACUAUUACUGACACUGAGGAGCGGAAGCGUGGGGAGCAAACAGGAUUAGAUA